AUGAAAUUUUGCAUACACCACCACCCAAAAUUCAUUUCCCUAGCGAUUUCGAAUAUGGUAUGCCCUAUAUCAUUUUUUUUCUCCAGUCAUUCGUUGUCAAGAAAGUGUGUGACAUUUCGGUUGUUUCUUUGAGAGAUUGCGAUGUUUAGCCAACUCACACCGCCGCGCGAACUGUGCACUGUUCGUACGGCUGGCGUCCUAGCCGACACUUUCUUUUUCUCUGUUCUAUUAGAUAAGACUUCAUUUUAUAUACCAAUUGCAUAGUUACAGUAUUUUAUUUUACCACUGUAACCUUAUAAAUUUUUAUUUCAGAAAGUACCUGAGUAUGAAGCCCCAAGCUAUAUGUUCUAUGUACGUUUACAUCUGCUGGUUAUAAGUCAGUGGCGAUGAUGCAAUCAGAGCUAUGGGUGCUAGAGAAGCGCAACUCCCUCAAUGGGGACAAUCUGCUGUUAACAAUGGCCAAAAUUGGCACCUUCAGAUUCCGUCUCCAUGAUAACAAAAAGUCAUCCUUACUCAUGGUAUAUGUUGUCAUUCCCAAGAUUUUAUUUUUGCAAGAACUUAUAUGUAUGCAAUGGCUACGGGAGAGACUACGAAGGUUCCUGAUGCGCUUGAGACUUUUGAAUUUCCUGUUAUAUAUUAAGUUUCAUGCAUCGUCCUUGUGUA